CGAACGCUGGCGGCGUGCCUAACACAUGCAAGUCGAACGGAGUAUGCUUCGAGAUUCGUCGAGAGGCAUACUUAGUGGCGGACGGGUGAGUAAUGCGUGAGCAACCUGCCCUUCAGAGGGGGACAACAGUUGGAAACGACUGCUAAUACCGCAUGACGUAUCCGGGAGGCAUCUUCUGGAUACCAAAGAUUUUAUCGCUGAGGGAUGGGCUCACGUCUGAUUAGCUAGUUGUGGGGUAACGGCCUACCAAGGCUGCGAUCAGUAGCCGGACUGAGAGGUUGAACGGCCACAUUGGGACUGAGAUACGGCCCAGACUCCUACGGGAGGCAGCAGUGGGGAAUAUUGGGCAAUGGGCGCAAGCCCUGACCCAGCAACGCCGCGUGAAGGAAGAAGGCCUUCGGGUUGUAAUCUUCUUUUAUGAGGGACGAAGGAAGUGACGGUACCUCAUGAAUAAGCCACGGCUAACUACGUGCCAGCCGCUGC
rnacentral:rRNA from 1 species